CUUCUGAGAAGCAUUAUCUUCAUUCCAGACAGCAUAUUCGGACAUUUAAACAUAUCAACAACUUGCAAGGAUAAGAAAUCAAACAGUAGGGAUUGUAGGUGAAGAGCCCUCUCUUUCACCCCUUUCACCGACACUGUUAUCUGCAAACUUUAAGCUUGCUGAGUGUUCAAUCGGUAUUCUAAUAGAAUGGACAAAAGUUGGAUAAAUAAGUUAAGAUCUAGUACUGAAUAUUUGGAUGGAGUUCGGAAUUUCAUUAAGUUUGCCUUUGAGAAAUCUAAUAUGAACGGGAAGAUUUUAUGUCCAUGUCAAAAAUGUGUAAACAGUUCUGCUCUUGAUCCAAAAAUUGUUGAAGAACAUUUGGUAUGGAAUGGUUUUCUAAAGGGUUAUACUGAAUGGGUACUCCAUGGAGAGUUCAUACCUUCAUGUAACCAACCCUCCGAUCUAGAAGAUACCUUCAAUUUUGGA